GGAGUUUUAGCCUUUUAACAUUCAAGGAUUAGGUAAGUUCUCCCCCGGGUAGACUUCAAAUACUCUUUGUCCUGCCCCUGCUUGGCGAAGUUUACCGGAAUUGUCUACCUACCCCGCUGGAGUGGGGGCCAGGAGAGAGCUGGAACCGCGACUCUGCUGCUCACCUUUGUGUCCUUAGCUCCUUCGCAUGGGGUCCGACCGCAACACGUGCGCUGGAUAAACGCUCGUUAACUGGAGCUCCCUCUUUGCCCACUAGCAGGGCAAUAGCUGGUGCUGAAAACAGUGGCUGCUUGGCAAGCCUGGAUCUCCAAGUGACUCCAAGUGACCCCCUCAGCAACUCCUGAUGAACAGGACUGAAACCAAUAAUAAGGCAAGUCGACCAAAGGUUCUGUGGUGUAGACAAGACAACAAAAGGACAGACUACCUGUGGAACCUAGCAUUGUUCUUCUGCAGUACUGCGUAACAUUUGUACUCCGUAAGAUCUUUGCAAACCACACACAAGAAUUGCUGGUCAUCCUGCCAAUAGAUGCUGCUCACAGAACCAAAUUUCCUGUGCUGGAUUGUCACUCAUGGGCUUGAGAGUAGGAGACUGGAGACCAAGGUGGCUAGAAUCCAGUUGUGCCUGACGUCUCCCUGUUGAAAGAGCUCCUUGUGGAAUGGACAGCACAUGGCUCCCGUGGUGGAUCUGAUAGUGGUACAGCACCAAGUGAUGCAGGCCUGCCUGGGCCACGGCCACAGAAGAUGCUCCCAGGCUCCCCCGUGUACUCCAGACACACUGCAGGCCACCCCUCCCAGCAGGUUCCUAGUCAUGGGCCCCAUCAUCAUGACUUCUGUCCAAAGUACUGUGUGCAGAAAUGUGAUUGAGAUUCAAGUCAGGGCCUCUGCCCUUUUCCCUCCAGAAACAAAACCAAGAUAAUUUAUCCUGAACACACACGGUGAAAAAAGGAAGAAAGGGAGCGGGGAGAAAAAGUCCAGGUCUUACCUGGGAUUCUCUGUCUCCUGCAACAUGAAGGGUUUAGCCUGGGAGGAGGUGGUGAGAACUCUGGGAGAGAAAAAAGAAGGAAAGAAUAGUUUUACCCAUGCUGAAGUUAAAACUUUACCUAGAGAAGCAAAACAAACAAACAAAAUAACACUGUUCCAUUUUGUGCCUCCCUUCCUAGAGUUUUGGCCAAAGGUUUAACUAAGUAAUUGGUUUUACCAGGGCACGCACUCCUCUUAUCCCGAGUCUGUUUGCCUCCCUCCCCAUCAUCCUUCUCACCUCUUUCAGGCAGGGUGGGGAUAGCAGCAGGAGGAGAUUCUGGGAGCUUGGCAACUCCUGUAAGGACCGCAGGACAGCCCCUCUGUGGGGAUGCAUGGUGCUCCAUCUGCCGUCCUUCUGAGAAGAAGAAUGCACUGCUUUCACUUUACUGUGUUAGAGUCCAUCCAGACGGUUCUAUCCAAAGAAUAGUUUCUUUUUUCCCCUACAGGCAAUCAGGAAAUGAUUCCUUUCCCGACUACUUUUGUCUAGUGCCUGGGAAUCUUGAGUCAAUCCCUCAGUAAGUCAGUGACUAAGGAAAUCUCCCCUCUCUGAGCCUCCCAGUUCAUGUUGCUUAGGGAACCUGAUAUUUUCAUGAAAUCUGCCUACACAUGGGCAGCCCAACAGCAGAGCUAAUGGUGGUGACCAAAGUGAACAAAGAAGUACGGUUGUGCCAGUUUCCUAGUUGCCCAUGUGGACAAGUCAGCAGGAUCAGGACACGAGGAAGAGUAAAUGUGAGACAGUCAUGUGACUUCUGCGAUAAUAUUCUAGAUUUUUAAACCCUGAAAUUUUGCUAAAAUUUUGGUGAAACCCUGAACUUUCUUCAUUGCAUAUACUGGCCCUAUCUGUACCGUCAUACAGCUAUCUCACAUUAAAGCUAUUUUUCUUGAGCACUGAUGAGUAAGGUUGGUAUGUUUGAGUUCCUCAGAUCAACAAAAACCCAUUUUCCUGUAAGUCUUAUGUUUAGUAUUUAAGGAACUAAAACUUAAAUACAUUGUGUGAAAUGGUUGACACUUCACUGAUAAUGAUUUAUUGCUUGGAUUAAUAAAUUUUCCAAAAGUUGUCUUAUUAUGUAGAAUAUGGUUUGCAACCAGCAGAACCAUUAAUCUAUACUGUGAUAAAAUGCACUAUGUAUAAUUGUUUAAAAGCUUCUACUUAAUGAUGUAACAUGCGUAUUUAAUUACACAUUUGGCUAAACUGUAUACUAACAUCUGAUGGCAUUUUUCCAGUGUGUUGCUUUUUUCAAAUACUUUAUUGUACAAAGCUGUUCUUAAUAUUUUUCAAGUUUUUCUCUUUGAAUUUUGCUAAUGUUUUCCUUGAAUUAUGAGCACUGACAGAAUGUGCUUAGCACUUUUGGCUAUUCACACAGCUUUUGAGCAUGAUUUGCAUCCAGUAUUGACAUUGCUAGCAAUAAUAAGCCAUCUGUGAGUUUUGUCAAAA